UUCCGGUUGAUCCUGCCGGAGGCCAUUGCUAUCGGAGUCCGAUUUAGCCAUGCUAGUUGCACGGGUUUAGACCCGUGGCGAAAAGCUCAGUAACACGUGGCCAAGCUACCCUGUGGACCGGAAUAACCUCGGGAAACUGAGGAUAAUUCCGGGUAACGCUCCCCCACUGGAAUGUGGGGAGCUGGAAACGUUCAGGCGCCACAGGAUGCGGCUGCGGCCGAUUAGGUAGACGGUGGGGUAACGGCCCACCGUGCCCAUAAUCGGUACGGGUUGUGAGAGCAAGAGCCCGGAGACGGAAUCUGAGACAAGAUUCCGGGCCCUACGGGGCGCAGCAGGCGCGAAACCUUUACAUUGCACGACAGUGCGAUAGGGGGACUCCGAGUGCGAGGGCAUAGAGCCCUCGCUUUUCUGUACCGUAAGGUGGUACAGGAAGAAGGGCUGGGCAAGACCGGUGCCAGCCGCCGCGGUAAUACCGGCAGCCCGAGUGAUGGCCGAUUUUA
rnacentral:rRNA from 1 species